UGCCGGAAUAGCUCAGUUGG
rnacentral:tRNA from 1 species